AUUGAACGCUGGCGGCAGGCCUAACACAUGCAAGUCGAGCGGAUGAAGGGAGCUUGCUCCUGGAUUCAGCGGCGGACGGGUGAGUAAUGCCUAGGAAUCUGCCUGGUAGUGGGGGAUAACGUCCGGAAACGGGCGCUAAUACCGCAUACGUCCUGAGGGAGAAAGUGGGGGAUCUUCGGACCUCACGCUAUCAGAUGAGCCUAGGUCGGAUUAGCUAGUUGGUGGGGUAAAGGCCUACCAAGGCGACGAUCCGUAACUGGUCUGAGAGGAUGAUCAGUCACCCUGGAACGGAGACCGGCCCCAGAGGCCGCGGGGAGCGGGCAGGGGGAAAUAGGGAACAAGGGGCGGGAGCCGUAUCACAACGGGCGUGGGGGGGAAGGAGGAUCGUCGGGUGAUGAAACAUUUUAUGUGGGGGGGAAGGGUAUUAGAUUAAUACUGUGGUGUUAGGGCUGGCACAGGAAAAAAAAGCCCGGGCAAUCUAGGG
rnacentral:rRNA from 1 species